rnacentral:rRNA from 1 species
UACGUAGGGACCGAGCGUUGUCCGGAAUUAUUGGGCGUAAAGCGCGUGUAGGCGGCUUUGCAAGUCUGGUGUGAAAUCCCUCGCUUAACCGAGGAAGUGCGCCAGAAACUGCAGAGCUUGAGUACCGGAGAGGAGCGUGGAAUUCCCAGUGUAGAGGUGAAAUUCGUAGAUAUUGGGAAGAACACCGGUGGCGAAGGCGGCGCUCUGGACCGAGACUGACGCUGAGGCGCGAAAGCGUGGGGAGCAAACAGG